UACGUAGGGUGCGAGCGUUGUCCGGAAUUACUGGGCGUAAAGAGCUCGUAGGUGGUUUGUCGCGUUGUUCGUGAAAACCGGAGGCUUAACCUUCGGCGUGCGGGCGAUACGGGCAGACUGGAGUACUGCAGGGGAGACUGGAAUUCCUGGUGUAGCGGUGGAAUGCGCAGAUAUCAGGAGGAACACCGGUGGCGAAGGCGGGUCUCUGGGUAGUAACUGACGCUGAGGAACGAAAGCGUGGGUAGCGAACAGG
rnacentral:rRNA from 1 species